rnacentral:sRNA from 2 species
AUAUAUGCGUUAGGGAUGGUAACGGCAUCCUUUUUUGUUUUCCUAGAACUUCUCGAUACUGAUGUAGCUUACAGACAAAAAAGAUAUAGUGAACAGCCCGACCCAGA